rnacentral:rRNA from 1 species
GACGAACGCUGGCGGCGUGCCUAACACAUGCGAGUCGAACGGAAAGGCCCUGCUUUUGUGGGGUGCUCGAGUGGCGAACGGGUGAGUAACACGUGAGUAACCUGUCCUUGUCUUUGGGGUAACUUCAGGAAACUGCGGCUAAUAUCGGAUAUGAUCUUCUGCUCCGUGGUGGGGGUUGGAAAGUGUCGGCGGUUGGGGAUGUACUCGCGGGUUAUGAGCUUGAUGGUGGGGUAGGGGCUUACCAAGGCUUUGACGGGUAGCCUGCCUGGGAGCGUGGACGGCGACAAUGGGACUGCGAGACGGCGCAGACGGCUAUGGGAGGCAGCGGUGGGGAAUAUUGCGCAAUGAGCGGGAGCCUGAUGCAGCAGCGCCGCGUGCGGGAUGACGGCCUUCGGGUUGUAAACAGCUUUCGCCUGUGACGAAGCGUGAGUGACGGUAAUGGGUAAAGAAGCACCGGCUAACUACGUG